rnacentral:rRNA from 1 species
UUAGUGGCGGACGGGUGAGUAACGCGUGGGUGACCUGCCUUAUACUGGGGGAUAACACUUAGAAAUAGGUGCUAAUACCGCAUAAGCGCACAGUUCUGCAUGGAACAGUGUGAAAAACUGAGGUGGUAUAAGAUGGACCCGCGUCUGAUUAGCUAGUUGGUGAGGUAACGGCCCACCAAGGCGACGAUCAGUAGCCGGCCUGAGAGGGUGAACGGCCACAUUGGGACUGAGACACGGCCCAAACUCCUACGGGAGGCAGCAGUGGGGAAUAUUGCACAAUGGGGGAAACCCUGAUGCAGCGACGCCGCGUGAGUGAAGAAGUUAUUCGUAACGUAAAGCUCUAUCAGCAGGGAAGAAAAUGACGGUACCUGACUAAGAAGCCCCGGCUAACUACGUGCCAGCAGCCGCGGUAAUACGUAGGGGGCAAGCGUUAUCCGGAUUUACUGGGUGUAAAGGGAGCGUAGACGGCAAUGCAAGUCUGGAGUGAAAAUCCGGGGCUCAACCCCGGAACUGCUUUGGAAACUGUGUAGCUAGAGUGCAGGAGAGGUAAGCGGAAUUCCUAGUGUAGCGGUGAAAUGCGUAGAUAUUAGGAGGAACACCGGUGGCGAAGGCGGCUUACUGGACUGUAACUGACGUUGAGGCUCGAAAGC